UAAUUUAUGUUAUUUUUCAUCAUUUUGCUAAGUUAAUAAUAUUUCACAAUUGUAAAAGUCACUGUAAAUAAACAAACGCGCAUGACAAUCACAGCGAAAUCGAAUGCGCAUAGUCAAAACAUUGCGCAUUUCGUAGGCUAAGCUCAUCGAGCCGAUCGACCUCAAGUCUGUCACGCAGAAGAGAAAGCCUUUCACUCCAACGUUGUGGUGCAGAGUUUUAGUGCCUAGUGUGUAUAUAUUGUGACACCAAGUGGAUUUGUUUUUACUAACUACAACGUUCCAUCUAAAACACCAGGAUGCCGUCAGCAGCGCCGCCCCCCGAGAAUGGCGUCCCUCGCAGCGAACUCGAGCAGCUGCAAAUACGCGCUGGCGAGGUGACCGAUGAGUCCCUCGAGUCCACGAGGCGUAUGAUGCAGCUAUGCGAGGAGAGCAAGGAGGCUGGCAUUCGAACUCUGGUCGCUCUAGAUGACCAGGGAGAGCAAUUGGACAGGAUCGAGGAGGGCAUGGACCAGAUUAACGCUGACAUGCGUGAGGCCGAGAAGAAUCUGUCGGGGAUGGAGAAGUGCUGUGGCAUCUGUGUACUGCCCUGCAACAAAGGAGCGUCGUUCAAAGAGGACGACGGCACAUGGAAGGGCAACGACGACGGCAAGGUGGUGAACAACCAGCCGCAGCGGGUCAUGGACGAGAGGAACGGCAUCGGACCACAGGCUGGAUACAUUGGAAGGAUAACGAAUGACGCGCGGGAGGACGAGAUGGAGGAGAACAUGGGUCAGGUGAACACGAUGAUUGGCAACCUACGCAACAUGGCCAUCGACAUGGGCUCCGAGCUCGAGAACCAGAACCGUCAGAUCGACCGCAUCAACCGCAAGGGUGAAUCGAACGAAACGAGAAUAAAGAUGGCCAACCAGCGCGCGCACGAGCUCCUCAAGUAAACGACGGCAGCACACAUACACACUACACACGUCUCGUGGUACUGGCCGGUUAUUCUUCAUUCUUUUAUUUAAAAAAAUGUUUUUAUGGCAACCAGUAUUUGCCAACGUAAUACGACUGUUUGUAUUCCAUUUUUAAAUCUUAAAAAACAAACAUAUCUGCAAAAUUCUUUUUUUAUUGAAUCUAGACUUUCUACCGGCCACAACGUAUAUCAAUAUUCAAAUAAUUAAUCCCGUAAUUAUUAAACUAUUUAGAUCGUGUUACAAUGUUAAUAUUAUACUCGCGUGUAAGUGAAUCAUCAAGCAUUAGUGUAUUGUCUAGAUAUGCUUCACGACAUUGUUAAAGGAAUUUCAUCAUGAAAGAAGUAUGUUUAUUUUUUUAUAUUUUGUAUUUUUAUUUAUUGUGGUAUUAAAUUUUGUAUUGUGUUUUUAUUAAACCUUAUGUUCUUAUUAUAAAAUGUAUUAAAGCACUAAUGAAACUCCACACACUGGGUUUAACUUUCGAGUAAAAACAUUUAAAAGUUGUCAUGUUACUAACAGUCUCAUAGAAGUUGUAAUAGAUAUCGCAUUAGAUUUGGAAUCUAAAACAGUUUUGACGGUAAAGAAAUGUGAUAAUAGUUUGAAAUUAUGUAAAUAGUUUUUAGAAUAACGUGUUUAUAGGAUCCAAACAAUUAGAUCCUUGUCCUCUAUAAAAGUGUCAAUUUGAUUAUAUAAAUUAUUUUAUUCUGUAUUAAACCUUUUUUUAAUUUUCUUUAAGUUUGUUUCUAAAUCUUAUCAUAAAUCAAUUAUACUUCCUAUUGUAAUAUGUUUGCUUCUGUGGAAAACUUCAUCAGUAUUCUUGUAAUCUAUCUAGCUAUUAUAAUAUUAUAGAUACUUUUAGAUGUAAAUUAAUUUAUGAAUUAUUAGCAAUAAAGGAGACUUACGUUUUACGUUACUUUUGUUUUUAUUAUUAAAAAACGAACAUGCGAAAACUAUUACCCUAAAACAUCACCUUAUAAAAACAUAAUCAUGCAUAACCUAUAAAAAUUGCAAAAUUUCUAUGAUUACGUAUUCACCACGAGACACACAUACACACAAACACAACCGUCUCCGGCAACAACUGGUGAGAGCAAUGAGACGCGCAUAGCGGUCGCGAACCAACGGGCGAACAAACUCCUCAAGUCCUAAAGAGCUCGACGAUGGAAUUCAAACUGGCCGGAAUUGAUGUACAAAAUGGCGUUGAUAUUUUCAGUGUCUCUAAAGUUCUACAUAUUAUCCCUUUUAGUGUAUACCUGUUGAUUAACUGUUUAACUAAAGCUUGUAUAAUAUACAAGCUUUAGUUAAAAGUACACAUAUUAUGUGUACUUUUACAGUGCUUACAUGAAACUCUAUAAAAUGCUUUGUCCUCAAGCUUUUCAAAUAUGUUCUGACGUAUCCAAAAUGAUGUUUGCUAACCUAAAGCGAGUUAUGUAAAAUUAAAUAAAAACUUGAGUUACGCAACUUUUGCUCUGUGGCUGUGAAAUUGAAACGUCAUUUUGUGCUAUUGUUAAAAUUUGGCACACACUAUGUACUAAUUAUUUUUGAUUUAAACAUCUCGUUAAAGAAUGUAGUGUGCGCUUAACUUUGUACGUAAUGUAAUGCAAUCAAUAAUGUUGUAUUAAUAAUUUGAAUAUAUCAUUAAAGUUAACCCUAGAAACUUACUCUGCUCUAGUUCAUGUAUACCUUAGUGAAAAUAUGGCCCUUCGAAUAAUCGAACGCUUCUAUAAGAUUUUGAUCCCGUAUUAAGAUAAGCUCGCAAUAAUGUUUGUCUAAAAUUAUUGUUGACGUAAUACUGAAUUUUAAUCUCGAUAAUAUCACAUUAAAUGUGAUUAAAAUCAAACUAUUGAUGUAAUGUUUUCAGUUCUACUGUUAUCGAAGUAUGCCUAUAAUUGCCUAUAAAGUUUUGUGAGAUUAUUUUGACUGUGGAAUAUUACAUCAUAAUAUCUAGUCUCUUGUGGCGUUCUUAAUGCGAGGCUUAUGUAUAUUAUGGAUCCUUUUUCUUAGACAGUGGAAGCGAAGUAGUUUUUUUUCGUUGUGUUAAAACUCUUGGCGUAUUCUUCUUCAAAGCAAAUACGCUAAGGGUUUAACAUGAUUACUUUUUAUUAGUAAGUACGCAAAGGUGGACGUUUCUUCGCUUCGACAAUUUUAUUGUAUGCUUAUGAUAAUUUCGACGAGUGUCGCACUUAGGUUACGAUUUCUUUAACGUGCCAAAUGGUUUCUUCACUUUUAAUUUGCGUUAAACUCCAGCUAUUCUGUAUGCACGUAAUAUAAGAAUGUACCAAUUUAGCUCAAAAUAGAACAGAUAUUUUGGAAAAAUAGUUGUCUUCAAAACGUGUUAAUAUUUUCUCGAACCGUAUAUAUACAUAGUUAUAGAUGUUUUAAUAUUAACAUAUAGUGAGAUUAUUAUUGUUACAUAUUAACGUUAACAGAAUGUUUAAUACGAAGUUCACGGCGUGUAGUGCCCACUCGACCGGUACUCGUUUCUAUCUCGCUUUGUAUAUUUUAAAUUAUUUAGCUUUAGGUUAAGAUUAAUGGUGCCUAAAAUAUAUUUUCUGAUGUAAUUAUAAUUGAAAUCGUUUGAUGUUACGGCGCUUUGUUACCUUGAGUCUGUAAAAUUUGAUUUCCAGUUCGGUUGGCCACGGUGGGUAGCUGGCAAUUCGCAACGUUCGUACUACCGGUUGUAACGUUUAAUGUGAUUAACUUGAAUGCAAUAGUAUAUUAAUAGUUGAGCAUUUAAAAACUUUAAUAAUGUAUCUUGUAUAUUGUCGUAAGGGAGUCGUACCGGCCUUAGGAGUUACGGAUAGUUAGGAUGGUAAAGCUCGAUAUAACGCUAGGGUACACAGGGUCACGAUUUAUUUUCAAUAAAAAUGAACUUUAAGCGUAUCGCGGUAAGGUUCGUAUUGCAUAGCGAGUGACCCUCUGUACGAGUAAUUAAGGUUUUUUGAAAUUUUCUCUAUGUCUCUCUCGAUCGUUAAUAGCGUAAGUGUUAGUGUGGUAACACGAGAUGUAUCUAUAUAUUCCAAAAGAUUUAAUCGUAUCCUCUUUGCAUAUAAACUUGUUAAAACACUACGAGUAAUCAGAAUAGAGUUGUACCUCCCGCCUGCGCAAAUAUAUCCAGUAUACCUACUCAGCCUGACACUAUAUUAUGUAUCUAGUAUCGACGAUAUAGACAUAUAUUUUCUCUAAGAAAUAGUAUAGUUAGAGGAAAGUGUUAAUUUCUAAUUAUAUUAUUGAUUUGUUAAAAAUUC